rnacentral:rRNA from 1 species
CCAGACUCCUACGGGAGGCAGCAGUGGGGGAUAUUGCACAAUGGGGGAAACCCUGAUGCAGCGACGCCGCGUGAGUGAAGAAGUAUUUCGGUAUGUAAAGCUCUAUCAGCAGGAACGAGACAAGACGGUACCUGACUAAGAAGCCCCGGCUAACUACGUGCCAGCAGCCGCGGUAAUACGUAGGGGGCAAGCGUUAUCCGGAAUCACUGGGUGUAAAGGGAGCGUAGACGGCUGAGCAAGCCUGAAGUGAAAGGCGGGGGCCCAACCCCCGGACUGCUUUGGGAACUGUACAGCUAGAGUGCAGGAGAGGUAAGUGGAAUUCCUAGUGUAGCGGUGAAAUGCGUAGAUAUUAGGAGGAACACCAGUGGCGAAGGCGGCUUACUGGACUGUAACUGACGUUGAGGCUCGAAAGCGUGGGGAGCAAACAGGAUUAGAUACCCGAGUA